UGGUGUGGCGUGUUUAGCGUCAACAGCACGACCACCAGUUAACCCUUGCACGUCUGAGAGCCCAGUGGUGUUAGGGUUAAUUAGAGUGUUCUAGAUUGCUGUAUAUCACAUUUUGGAUUAGUUUCGAUAUCUGGGAGUUAAUUCGUGGAUUGUUGUUCAUAAUAUUUUUGUUACCAGUGAUAUCGGAUUCUGGGGUUGUUGUGGUUCGUGAUGUUUUGGAUUAUUUACGACAUUCGAUUCGAAUUUUCGGAUUGUUCUUCAGAAUAAUUUGUAAUGUGCAAUAUCUGAUAUUAGGGUUGCUCGUAAUAUUUUAGAGUGUUUGUUUAUCAAAAUAUGAUGAUUGUUUAGGAUAUUACUGUUGGUUCUUCGUUAGACCAAUCAAUUUGUAUUGGAUUCUUUAACGAAGGUGAAUAUUCCUGCCUGAUAAGCCGAGUAGCGGCCCCUGGCCACUUCCGACGUACUUAGAUCUCCCCUCAAGUGUGGAUUAUAAAACUUUGGGUGUGAUUUAUCGUGACGCAGAGUGGCGCUACCAGCAACCCAAAUCAUUUCAAACUGCUAGAAACUGGACUAUUGAACCAUACUCUGCUGACUACCACGGAUUACUACGGAAGAUUGUAAAACGAACCAUCUUCAUGUGAAUAUUUCAGGAAACUUAACACAUCACUAAUACUUUAAGAAAUUGCCAUUCCUACAGUACAGUGCUAUAGCAGCUUUUCCGUUUUCGUCUAUUCUUGGACGUGUGAUAUUCCCUAGUUAUAGCUGGUGCUUUUGUGUUAUAUAUAACAAAGUGACCAUUUUCGUUUCGGAUAUUUGGAUAUAUGGAUAUGUGGAUACAGUACUCUUAAGCCCAGAUGAAAAUAAUGUCAAAAUAAACAACAUGAACUUCCACACUAGGCAAAAGGAAAAAGAAAUUCCAGUACCGGCCAUCUGACAAGCACACAGGUAAGUCAUAUUGUCUCACCUGUCCUCUUGUGUUUACCUGUUACCUCCA